rnacentral:rRNA from 1 species
AACGAACGCUGGCGGCAUGCUUAACACAUGCAAGUCGAACGAGACCUUCGGGUCUAGUGGCGCACGGGUGCGUAACGCGUGGGAAUCUGCCCUUUGCUACGGAAUAACUCGGAGAAAUCCGUGCUAAUACCGUAUGAUGUCGUAAGACCAAAGAUUUAUCGGCAAAGGAUGAGCCCGCGUAAGAUUAGCUAGUUGGUAGG